rnacentral:ncRNA from 1 species
GCACCACCCUCUAAUAAGGGGGCGCUGCCGGGUAACUGGUAGUAGAAAAUCUUGUAAAUUGCGGGAAAAUCUGUGUAUUUCAAGAUACUCUAAAUAUAGAGUAACAAUUUUUGAAUGCAGAUAAUCCGCAGCCAAGUCCGCCGAUAAUUAUAGCGGAAAGGUUCAACGACUAUAAUCAAGACGCCCUACCGUUUUUAUCCAAAAGCGUUAUUCUAAAAACGGUAGGGCGAUGGGAUAGUCUGAUCUGUAUGGCGACAUACAG